rnacentral:rRNA from 1 species
AUUGAACGCUGGCGGCAUGCCUUACACAUGCAAGUCGAACGGCAGCACGGGUGCUUGCACCUGGUGGCGAGUGGCGAACGGGUGAGUAAUACAUCGGAACAUGUCCUGUAGUGGGGGAUAGCCCGGCGAAAGCCGGAUUAAUACCGCAUACGAUCUACGGAUGAAAGCGGGGGACCUUCGGGCCUCGCGCUAUAGGGUUGGCCGAUGGCUGAUUAGCUAGUUGGUGGGGUAAAGGCCUACCAAGGCGACGAUCAGUAGAUGGUCUGAGAGGACGACCAGCCACACUGGGACUGAGACACGGCCCAGACUCCUACGGGAGGCAGCAGUGGGGAAUUUUGGACAACGGGCGAAAGCCUGAUCCAGCAAUGCCGCGUGUGUGAAGAAGGCCUUCGGGUUGUAAAGCACUUUUGUCCGGAAAGAAAUCCUUGGCUCUAAUACAGUCGGGGGAUGACGGUACCGGAAGAAUAAGCACCGGCUAACUACGUGC